rnacentral:rRNA from 1 species
AGGACGAACGCUGGCGGCGUGCUUAACACAUGCAAGUCGAGCGGUAAGGCCUUUCGGGGUACACGAGCGGCGAACGGGUGAGGAACACGUGGGUGAUCUGCCCUGCACUUCGGGAUAAGCCUGGGAAACUGGGUCUAAUACCGGAUAUGACCUCCUAUCGCAUGGUGGGUGGUGGAAAGAUUUAUCGGUGCAGGAUGGGCCCGCGGCCUAUCAGCUUGUUGGUGGGUAAUGGCCUACCGAAGGCGACGACGGGUAGCCGACCUGAGAGGGUGACCGGCCACACUGGGACUGGAGACACGGCCCAGACUCCUACGGGAGGCAGCAGUGGGAAUAUGCACAAUGGGACGAAGCCUGAUGCAGCGACGCCGCGUGAGGAUGGACGGCCUUCGGGUUGUAAACCGUC